ACUCCAGUGGCUUAGUGGUUAGAGCAUCUGCCUCGGAUGCGGGAGGUCAUGCCGAUUCGAUCCCUGCCGAGUC